rnacentral:rRNA from 1 species
AGUGAACGCUGGCGGUAGGCCUAACACAUGCAAGUCGAACGGCAGCACAGUAAGCGCUUGCUCUUACGGGUGGCGAGUGGCGGACGGGUGAGGAAUACAUCGGAAUCUACUUUUUCGUGGGGGAUAACGUAGGGAAACUUACGCUAAUACCUCAUACGUCCUACGGGUGAAAGCAGUGGAUCUUCGGACCUUGCGCGAUUGAAUUAGCCGAUGUCGGAUUAGCUAGUUGGCGGGGUAAAGGCCCACCAAGGCGACGAUCCGUAGCUGGUCUGAGAGGAUGAUCAGCCACACUGGAACUGAGAAACGGUCCAGACUCCUACGGGAGGCAGCAGUGGGGAAUAUUGGACAAGGGGGGAAAGCCUGAUCCAGCCAUACCGCGUGGGUGAAGAAGGCCUUCGGGUUGUAAAGCCCUUUUGUUGGGAAAGAAAAGCAGCAGGUUAAUACCCCGCUGUUCUGACGGUACCCAAAGAAUAAGCACCGGCUAACUUCGU